rnacentral:rRNA from 1 species
GCGGUGCGCCUUAUGCAUGCAAGUCGAGCGAAGCUUUUCAGUAGUUUACUACAGAAAAUGACUGAGCGGCGAACGGGUGAGUAACGCGUGAGCAACCUACCUUAGUUACUGGGAUAGCCCGAGGAAACUCGGAUUAAUACCGGAUAUUCUUAUUUAAUCACAUGAUUUUUUAAGGAAAGGUCAGCCGAACUAAGAUGGGCUCGCGUUCUAUCAGCUAGUUGGUAGGGUAACGGCCUACCAAGGCUACGACGGAUAGCUGGUCUGAGAGGACGAUCAGCCACACUGGGACUGAGACACGGCCCAGACUCCUACGGGAGGCUGCAGCAGGGAAUAUUGUGCAAUGAACGAAAGUUUGACACAGCGACACCGCGUGUGGGAUGACGGAUCUAGGUUUGUAAACCACUUUCAGGAGGGAAGAAAAUGACGGUACCUCCACAAGAAGCCCCGGCCAACUACGUGCCAGCAGCCGCGGUAAUACGUAGGGGGCGAGCGUUGUCCGGAUUUAUUGGGCGUAAAGAGCUCGUAGGCGGUUCAACAAGUCGGUCGUGAAAGUUCAGGGCUCAACCCUGAAAUGUCGAUCGAUACUGUUGUGACUAGGAUACGGCAGAGGUGAGUGGAAUUCCGAGUGUAGCGGUGAAAUGCGUAGAUAUUCGGAGGAACACCAAUUGCGAAGGCAGCUCACUGGGCCGCU